rnacentral:piRNA from 1 species
UAAGAAUGUAUUGAGCUUACAGAGCCUU